UACGUAGGGUGCAAGCGUUGCCCGGAUUUAUUGGGCGUAAAGGGCGCGUAGGCGGCUCUGCACGUCCGUUGUGAAAUCGCCCGGCUCAACUGGGCGGGGUCAGCGGAUACGGCAGAGCUUGAGCAAGCUAGGGGGCAAUGGAAUUCCCGGUGUAGUGGUGGAAUGCGCAGAUAUCAGGAAGAACACCCGUGGCUAAGGCGGUUCUCUAGUACGGUACUGACGCUGAGACGCGAAAGCGUGGGGAGCGAACAGG
rnacentral:rRNA from 1 species